rnacentral:rRNA from 1 species
GAAACGACUGCUAAGACUGGAUAGGAAACAAAAAGGCAUCUUUUUGUUUUUAAAAGACCUUCUUAUGAAGGUAUGCUUAAAGAGGGGCUUGCGCCACAUUAGUUAGUUGGUAGGGUAAAAGCCUACCAAGACGAUGAUGUGUAGCUGGACUGAGAGGUUGAACAGCCACAUUGGGACUGAGACACGGCCCAAACUCCUACGGGAGGCAGCAGUAGGGAAUUUUCGGCAAUGGAGGAAACUCUGACCGAGCAACGCCGCGUGAACGAUGAAGUAUUUCGGUAUGUAAAGUUCUUUUAUUGAAGAAGAAAAAGUAGUGGAAAAACUAUAUUGACGUUAUUCAAUGAAUAAGCCCCGGCUAACUAUGUGCCAGCAGCCGCGGUAAGACAUAGGGGGCGAGCGUUAUCCGGAAUUAUUGGGCGUAAAGGGUGCGUAGGCUGUUAGAUAAGUCUAUAAUUUAAUUUCAGUGCUUAACGCUGUCUUGUUAUAGAAACUGUCUUGACUAGAGUGAGAUAGAGGCAAGCGGAAUUCCAUGUGUAGCGGUAAAAUGUGUAAAUAUAUGGAGGAACACCAGAAGCGUAGGCGGCUUGCUGGGUCUUUACUGACGCUGAGGCACGAAAGCGUGGGUAGCAAACAGGAUUAGAUACCCUGGUAGUCCACGCCGUAAACGAUGAGUACUAAGUGUCGGGGUAAAACUCGGUGCUGAAGUUAACACAUUAAGUACUCCGCCUGAGUAGUACGUACGCAAGUAUGAAACUUAAAGGAAUUGACGGGACUCCGCACAAGCGGUGGAUCAUGUUGUUUAAUUCGAAGAUACACGAAAAAUCUUACCAGGUCUUGACAUACUCUGCAAAGCUAUAGAAAUAUAGUGGAGGUUAUCAGGGAUACAGGUGGUGCAUGGUUGUCGUCAGUUCGUGUCGUGAGAUGUUAGGUUAAGUCCUAAAACGAGCGCAACCCUUGUCGUUAAUUGCCAGCACGUAAUGGUGGGGACUUUAGCGAGACUGCCAAUUAAACAUUGGAGGAAGGUGAGGAUUACGUCAAAUCAUCAUGCCCCUUAUGAUCUGGGCUACAAACGUGAUACAAUGGCUGUGACAAAGAGUAGCUGAAACGCGAGUUUUUAGCCAAUCUCAAAAAAGCAGUCUCAGUUCGGAUUGAAGCCUGUAACUCGACUUCAUGAAGUUGGAAUCGCUAGUAAUCGCGAAUCAGCAUGUCGCGGUGAAUACGUUCGCGGGGUUUGUACACACCGCCCGUCA